AUUGAACGCUGGCGGCAUGCCUUACACAUGCAAGUCGAACGGUAACAGGUCUUCGGACGCUGACGAGUGGCGAACGGGUGAGUAAUACAUCGGAACGUGCCCAGUCGUGGGGGAUAACUACUCGAAAGAGUAGCUAAUACCGCAUACGAUCUGAGGAUGAAAGCGGGGGACCUUCGGGCCUCGCGCGAUUGGAGCGGCCGAUGGCAGAUUAGGUAGUUGGUGGGAUAAAAGCUUACCAAGCCGACGAUCUGUAGCUGGUCUGAGAGGACGACCGGCCAAACUGGGACUGAGAAACGGCCCAGACUCCGACGGGAGGCAGCAGUGGGGAAUUUUGGACAAUGGGCGAAAGCCUGAUCCAGCAAUGCCGCGUGCAGGAUGAAGGCCUUCGGGUUGUAAACUGCUUUUGUACGGAACGAAAAAGCUCCUUCUAAUACAGGGGGCCCAUGACGGUACCGUAAGAAUAAGCACCGGCUAACUACGUGCCAGCCGCCGCAGUAA
rnacentral:rRNA from 1 species